rnacentral:rRNA from 1 species
AUGGUUAAGUGACUAAGCGUACACGGUGGAUGCCUUGGCAGUCAGAGGCGAUGAAGGACGUAUUAACUUGCGAUAAGCCUAGUUUAGAUAGUAAAAAUCACUUGAGACUAGGAUUUCCGAAUGGGGAAACCCAGCUGCAUAAGCAGUUAUCAUAACGUGAAUACAUAGCGUUAUGAGGCGAACCGGGGGAACUGAAACAUCUAAGUACCCCGAGGAAGAGAAAUCAAUUGAGAUUCCGGCAGUAGCGGCGAGCGAACCCGGAUUAGCCCUUAAGCGGCAUUAGCGUUAGGUGAAGGUACUGGAAAGUACAGCGAUACAGGGUGAUAGCCCCGUAACCGACAACGCUUUUACCGUGAAAUCGAGUAGGACGGGACACGUGAUAUCCUGUUUGAACAUGGGGGGACCAUCCUCCAAGGCUAAAUACUCCUGACUGACCGAUAGUGAACCAGUACCGUGAGGGAAAGGCGAAAAGAACCCCUGUGAGGGGAGUGAAAUAGAACCUGAAACCGUGUACGUACAAGCAGUAGGAGCCCACUUGUUGGGUGACUGCGUACCUUUUGUAUAAUGGGUCAGCGACUUAAUUUUAGUAGCAAGGUUAACCGUUUAGGGGAGCCGUAGGGAAACCGAGUCUUAACUGGGCGUACAGUUGCUAGGAUUAGACCCGAAACCAAGUGAUCUAGCCAUGGGCAGGUUGAAGUGAGGUAACACUUACUGGAGGACCGAACCGACUAAUGUU